CACGCCGUAAACUAUGCAAACUAGGUAUCAGGAGCAUCGACCCUCCUUGUACCGAAGCUAACGCGUUAAGUUUGCCGCCUGGGUAGUACGGUCGCAAGACUAAAACUCAAAGGAAUUGGCGGGGGCUCGCACAAGCGGUGGAACAUGUGGUUUAAUUCGAUAGCAAGCGGGAAACCUCACCAAGGUUUGACAUCUAGAGAAUCCCCUGGAAACAGGGGAGUGCCCGCAAGGGAGCUCUAAGACAGGUGC
rnacentral:rRNA from 1 species